GAGACACAGAGGCAAAGUAUAGAGAAAGAAAAGUGGGCCCAGUGGACCGGCGCUCAGCAUACGGAGCACAAAUCCUAUUUAAACUACAGAUUCUAAACACAAAUGAUUUUAUUCACCCCUGCCCCCCAACACUAAAAGAUUUAAACACUAACAUAGUUUCUAACAGCUGUAAACUAAACAAAUCCUAAGCCCCUACUGACUGAAUGGAACCCCUUUUGGCCAAGAUGGCCCCAGAAAAAAACUUAGAAACUUAGUUCCCAGCCCUGAUGGAAUGUGAGGUCAGACAUGCCUCAUUAUACCCUCUCUCUUUUACAGUUUAGAUACAACUGGCCAGCAUUGAUGUUAAAAUAGAGACCAUGAGACUGAUGGAACAGACUUUUUGUGGCAAUAAGAUACAAAAAUUAUAAACAAGACCUAAGGCCAUUCCAGGAAAGAUCCAAGAGGCCCUUUGCCAAUUCCAACUGGAACAUCCAACAUCGGACACUAAUCCAGCCAACUGCCAUAACUACAGCUUUGAUUAGACAAGAGACUGAUUUCAACAACUUUCUCCUGAUAAGAAGAUCAUGGACUAUGGAAUGGACUGGUUCUGGUUUACAGAGGCUGUGUACUUGCGUGCCUUGAUGUCCUGAAAGACCUUUUGACAGAUAGGGCCUAAUGGUAAUACAUUUAAAUGUCAAGUCACCAUCCCAAAGUGAAUAUACAUGAGUCGUAUGUUACAUGCAUGUUUCUUCAAUAUGCAUGUAUCAGGACCACCUUCAUGAAUAUUCACAGCUCCUCCUGUAAACUGUUGAAUGUGUAAGUUUAGCCAACCUGUUCAGUCUAAAGCUCCUGCCUCAAAGCCUCCCCCUUCAAAGUGCCCGUCUCUGUUUCUGCUGGAGUCAGCUCCCCAGCCUCCAGGAUGGCUACCUUGCAGGUUGUACCCGUUUAGAAGAA
rnacentral:lncRNA from 1 species